rnacentral:miRNA from 1 species
UUUGCGACUGUUAAUCUGCUUU